rfam:Absidia repens strain NRRL 1336 BCR42scaffold_10, whole genome shotgun sequence.
UCCCAUGUGGUCUAGUGGCUAGGAUCCCACGCUCUCACCGUGGUGGCCGGGGUUCAAUUCCCCGCAUGGGAG